GGGGAUGUCCAGCUUUGACAGCGAGCCAAAGCAAUUCUCGCGAUGGGAGUACGGCCUCCUUAAAACCGAGGCAAUACAACUGCCAACAUUUUUAAGCCGGCACAACCGGCUCUUGCCUACGCAUAACUAGUCCGCCAACCGGCGGACGAAUCGCAGGCCAUUCGCUCUUUGACUCUCGAUAAAAGAAGCGGGUGUCAACCAUCGAGAUAGAUAGCUUUUUCGAAGGUCCGGGAGCUAUUGAUUUUUAAGGACCAUCAAAGAGAAAGUGGGUUCGUCCAGUUCUUGCACUCUCUCUUUCAAAAAACUGGACUAUCAUCGUAGAUAGAAUUUCCUCGUCUCGCUGGACGCGGGUUCGACCCCGCCAUCUCCACCA
rnacentral:tmRNA from 1 species